rnacentral:rRNA from 1 species
AUGAACGCUGGUGGCGUGCCUAAUACAUGCAAGUCGAGCGAACGGACGAGAAGCUUGCUUCUCUGAUGUUAGCGGCGGACGGGUGAGUAACACGUGGAUAACCUACCUAUAAGACUGGGAUAACUUCGGGAAACCGUAGCUAAUACCGGAUAAUAUUUUGAACCGCAUGGUUCAAAAGUGAAAGACGGUCUUGCUGUCACUUAUAGAUGGAUCCGCGCUGCAUUAGCUAGUUGGUAAGGUAACGGCUUACCAACGCAACGAUGCAUAGCCGACCUGAGAGGGUGAUCGGCCACACUGGAACUGAGACACGGUCCAGACUCCUACGGGAGGCAGCAGUAGGGAAUCUUCCGCAAUGGGCGAAAGCCUGACGGAGCAACGCCGCGUGAGUGAUGAAGGUCUUCGGAUCGUAAAACUCUGUUAUUAGGGAAGAACAUAUGUGUAAGUAACUGUGCACAUCUUGACAGUACCUAAUCAGAAAGCCACGGCUAACUACGUG